GGGCGCUUAGCUCAGCCGGGAGAGCACCUGCCUUACAAGCAGGGGGUCAUAGGUUCGAUCCCUGUAGCGCCCACCA
rnacentral:tRNA from 1 species